rnacentral:tRNA from 1 species
GGGGAUGUUUCUCAAAGGUUGAGUGUUUGCUUUGCAAGCAAAAGGUUAUUGGUUCGAAUCCAAUCAUUUCC